rnacentral:rRNA from 1 species
AUUGAACGCUGGCGGCAGGCUUAACACAUGCAAGUCGAACGAGUGGCGGACGGGUGAGUAAUGCUUGGGAAUCUCGCUUAUGGAGGGGGAUAACUACGGGAAACUGUAGCUAAUAACGCGUACCAUAGGAUGAGUGCAGGUGGGAUGAGGUAGGUGGUGAGGUAAAGGAACACCAAGCCGACGAUCUCUAGCUGGUCUGAUAGGAUGACCAGCCACACUGCGACUGAAACGCGACCCAGACUCAUACGGGAGGCAGCAGUGGGGAAAGUUGCGCAAUGGGAGCAACCUAGCGCAGCCAUGCCGCGUGAAUUAAGAAGUCCUUCGGGUUGUAAAGUUCUUUCGGUAGCGAAGCGUUAACUACAGAAGAAGCACCGGCUAACUCCGUGCCAGCAGCCGCGGUAAUAC